CAUUUACAGACUAGAGUUUCUGAUGUCCACGUGACGCCACUCCUUGUAACUGACCCAG
rnacentral:misc_RNA from 1 species